CUUGGAUACUAAAGACACAUUUGGAAUGCAUUUUUAACAAGAUAUUAAUGGCCACCAACAUGACUUUUGAGUUUAAAAUCUCAUUCCUGAGUCAUUCAUUGAAAGCUUCACUUAUUCUUUAGGUUUUUUUUUUUGUUGAAAUAAAAGUGUGGAGUUGUAUUAAUGUUAGAGUGCCAAGGGAGUACAACCCGUUUACAAUGU
rnacentral:lncRNA from 1 species